GCCGCGGUCGCUUAGCCCGGUAUAGCGCUGGAUUGCUAAUCCAGUGUCCGCAAGGACUCGGGAGUUCAAAUCUCCCCCGCGGCG
rnacentral:tRNA from 1 species